rnacentral:rRNA from 1 species
UACGUAGGGUGCAAGCGUUUGUCCGGAAUUAUUGGGCGUAAAGAGCUCGUAGGCGGUCUGUCGUGUCUGCUGUGAAAACUCAGGGCUUAACCCUGAGCUUGCAGUGGGUACGGGCAGACUAGAGUGCGGUAGGGGAGACUGGAAUUCCUGGUGUAGCGGUGAAAUGCGCAGAUAUCAGGAGGAACACCGGUGGCGAAGGCGGGUCUCUGGGCCGUAACUGACGCUGGAGGAGCGGAAAGCAUGGGGAGCGAACAGG